AUUGAACGCUGGCGGCAUGCCUUACACAUGCAAGUCGAACGGCAGCAUGAUCUAGCUUGCUAGAUUGAUGGCGAGUGGCGAACGGGUGAGUAAUACAUCGGAACGUGCCCUGUAGUGGGGGAUAACUAGUCGAAAGAUUAGCUAAUACCGCAUACGACCUGAGGGUGAAAGUGGGGGACCGCAAGGCCUCAUGCUAUAGGAGCGGCCGAUGUCUGAUUAGCUAGUUGGUGAGGUAAAGGCUCACCAAGGCGACGAUCAGUAGCUGGUCUGAGAGGACGAUCAGCCACACUGGGACUGAGACACGGCCCAGACUCCUACGGGAGGCAGCAGUGGGGAAUUUUGGACAAUGGGCGAAAGCCUGAUCCAGCAAUGCCGCGUGUGUGAAGCAGGCCUUCGGGUUGUAAAGCACUUUUGUCCGGAAAGAAAUGGCUCUGGUUAAUACCUGGGGUCGAUGACGGUACCGGAAGAAUAAGGACCGGCUAACUACGUG
rnacentral:rRNA from 1 species